UGCCUGCCCAGUGACAACUGUUUAACGGCCGCGGUAUCCUGACCGUGCAAAGGUAGCAUAAUCAUUUGUUCUCUAAAUAAGGACUUGUAUGAAUGGCCGCACGAGGGUUUUACUGUCUCUUACUUCCAAUCAGUGAAAUUGACCUUCCCGUGAAGAGGCGGGAAUGCACAAAUAAGACGAGAAGACCCUAUGGAGCUUUAACUAACCAACCCAAAGAGAAUAAAUUUAACCAUUAAGGAGUAACAACAAUCUCCAUGAGUUGGUAGUUUCGGUUGGGGUGACCUCGGAGAAUAAAAAACCCUCCGAGCGAUUUUAAAGACUAGACCCACAAGUCAAAUCACUCUAUCGCUCAUUGAUCCAAAAACUUGAUCAACGGAACAAGUUACCCUAGGGAUAACAGCGCAAUCCUAUUCAAGAGUCCAUAUCGACAAUAGGGUUUACGACCUCGAUGUUGGAUCAGGACAUCCUGAUGGUGCAACCGCUA
rnacentral:rRNA from 1 species